CUGAAAUAAUAAGUGAAAAUAAGCUGAACAGAACAAACCCUAAUACUAUGUGCUUACCACUAAAAUAUGUCAAAAUUCAUGUUCUCCCUUUUAAACAAAAAAUAAAAAAUAUAGUGAAUGACAAUAAAAAUAAGAUUUACUUCGUUAUUUUGAAAAAUGGAGUCAUGAACUACAUGCAUAUUGAUACUUGUUAAUAUGUCGUCACUAGUAGAAAAACAGAAAUCAGCACCGCCCUUUUCGCACCGGUUUUUAAAAAUCGGUGCCAAAAAAAAUAGGCGGGAUUGAGGGAAAGAGUUUUCGCACCGGUUCUAACCAAACCGGUGCGAAAAAUGAGUUAAUCACAUCGGUUCAGUUCGAACCGGUGCGAAUUCUAUUGUAAAAAAAAAAAACCGGUCUUUUUAAUCUUCUUUCUUUCUCUUUCCUCGAUCUCUCCUCCUCUCUCAUCUGCCUCUCUCUCCUUCGGUUCAACAAUGGAGGCUCGGCUCUUUCCUCAAACUCCCUCUCUCUCCUUCAAUCUCCUUCUCCAUAACCGCAGCUUUCCCUUUCCUUUUCUCUCUCCUUCGAUCUCCUUCUCCAUAACUAUGCCGCAAGCAACGUCGCUCUCCUUCUCCUUCUCAGUCCGAAAUUGGCGUCACUAGAACCAAGCACAACCACCAUCGCCGCCGCCGUCAAUUUGAACCAAAUACAACAACAACAACAACAACAAACUUGAAUCAAUUAUCGACUCAAAAAUCACAAAUUCGAGUGGUCGGUGCUAGUGGUGGUGGGUUCUUUGGUGUGGUGGUGGUAUCGUGGGUGCGGUGGUGGUUUCGUGGUUGCGGUGGUGGUUUCGUGGGUCGUGAUUUCCUGCUACGAGUCUAUGGUUUCUAUGACGCACUGCCAGGAGUUAAUUCAACCUUUACUUAAGCUGUAAAUGGGGUGUAAGAUCAAGUGGUCAACAUUGUCGUAGCAAAUGGGAGCUGCCCGUUGAUGGUUCUUUGAAGGUGAACUUCGAUGCUGCCUUGUUGGCUGGAAUUGGUGUAGGCCUUGGAGUUGUAAUUCGUGAUGGGGUUGGUAGGGUGCUGGCUGCUAGUGUGAAAAGAGUUCCUGCAAGUGAUGUUCCUGUCAUUCUUGCUGAAGCAAUAGCACUAUCGCAUCGAGGCUAGGGAAUGUAAAGGUAGAUAAUCUUAGUCCAAUUACUAUUGCAAUUGAGGUAGGUUCUUUGUUCUCUACUAUGACAGGGAAAAAAAAAGAGUAGAAAUAAGAAAGUCCUCUUACAAAGUUCAUGCCUUCCUUUUAAUCUGUUUGUUGGUGGUGGUUUGAAUUCAUUUUUACCAUCCUUUUUCAUUCACCUUUGAGCUGACACAUCUAAUAUUUGUAGGUGCUUGGUAUGGUGAUGGCUGGUUUUGUCUUAUGUUUGUUUUGUUAGCUGCUUGUUCUUGGUGGGCUGCUGGCCUUUUGUUUCUCAGCGUCUGUUGUCUAUUGCUCUACUGCUUGCCAAUUGCUGUUGUUCUGUGGUCUGCUUUGCCACCUGAUGCUCAGCAGAUUGCUGGAUUGUUGCUGCUUUGCUGUCUGUUGUUGCUCUGUUGAUUGCUAGGUUGUUGCCUGGUUCUUUAUUGUUCUUUUUCUUCUGUAUUAGCUGCAACCUAUUUUUUUAUCUGUGUGUUCCAGUUGCUGUUCUCUGUCUGUUGCUUCCUGGCUGCUAGCGAUGCAUCAACUUGAUUAUGUGCUAUUACCGGUCUUCGCUGCUGAUGAUUUGCUGGGUUCGGUGCUUCUGGUUUUUCUGGUGCUGUUGCUGUUAUGCUGGAUGUGUUGUUGCUGUUUGCUUGCUUUCCUAGUUACUUAAAGGUCGCUCCGGUGUGCUUUUUGGUGUCGCAAGGUUGCUGCUGAGUUGUCUAGAGGUGUAUUCUUCUAGCUGAUGUUCCCGUUGCUCUGCUCCUGCAUAUUUGAUUUGUAUAUUUUGUUUGGCAGAUUCUUGAUGUUGAAACUUUUGGCUUUGUUUUCUUUCCAAAAAAAAAAAAACCAACAUAGUAUGCUUAUGUACGAUUGUAUACGUCUUUUUAGUGUUGUAUGUAUCCAGUUCAUUGCACAACCAAUAAUUAAUGUAGCUAUGGCAUUUUUCUGAGUGUAGUACUA